rnacentral:rRNA from 1 species
GAUGAACGCUAGCUACAGGCUUAACACAUGCAAGUCGAGGGGUAACGAGAGGAAAGCUUGCUUUCCUUGUCGACGACCGGCGCACGGGUGAGUAACGCGUAUCCAACCUGCCCCCAACUAGGGAAUAACCUUGCGAAAGUAAGACUAAUACCCUAUAAUUUCCUCAGAUGUCAUCUGACGAGGAAUAAAGAUUUAUCGGUUGUGGAUGGGGAUGCGUCUGAUUAGCUUGUUGGCGGGGUAACGGCCCACCAAGGCAACGAUCAGUAGGGGUUCUGAGAGGAAGGUCCCCCACAUUGGAACUGAGACACGGUCCAAACUCCUACGGGAGGCAGCAGUGAGGGAUAUUGGUCAAUGGGCGGAAGCCUGAACCAGUCAAGUAGCGUGCAGGAUGACGGCCCUAUGGGUUGUAAACUGCUUUUAUACAGGAAUAAAGUUAGCCACGUGUGGUUAUUUGUAGGUACUGUAUGAAUAAGGACCGGCUAAUUCCGUGCCAGCCGCCGCGGUAAUAC